rnacentral:rRNA from 1 species
GGAGGAAAAGAAACUAACAAGGAUUCCCCUAGUAACGGCGAGUGAAGCGGGAAGAGCUCAAAUUUGAAAUCUAGUAGCCUUCGGCUGCUCGAGUUGUAAUCUAGAGAAGUGUUUUCCGUGCCGGCCCAUGUACAAGUCCCUUGGAACAGGGCGUCAUAGAGGGUGAGAAUCCCGUCCUUGACAUGGACCCCCGGUGCUCUGUGAUACACUUUCAACGAGUCGAGUUGUUUGGGAAUGCAGCUCAAAAUGGGUGGUGAAUUCCAUCUAAAGCUAAAUAUUGGCGAGAGACCGAUAGCGAACAAGUACCGUGAGGGAAAGAUGAAAAGCACUUUGGAAAGAGAGUUAAACAGUACGUGAAAUUGUUGAAAGGGAAACGAUUGAAGUCAGUCAUGCUCUUUGGUAUUUAUAUCAUUGAGUGGGGUCAACAUCAGUUUUGAUCGAUGGAUAAAGGCACUAGGAAGGUAGCACUCUCGGGUGAACUUAUAGCCUGGCGUCAUAUACAUUGAUUGGGACUGAGGAACGCAGCAUGCCUUUAUGGCCGGGAUUCGUCCACGUACAUGCUUAGGAUGUUGACAUAAUGGCUUUAAACGACCCGUCUUG